rnacentral:rRNA from 2 species
AUCUUUUGACCAUCUGAGAGAUCAGAAUUUCCCUUCGGGGACAAAAUGACAGGUGGUGCAUGGCUGUCGUCAGCUCGUGUCGUGAGAUGUUGGGUUAAGUCCCACAACGAGCGCAACCCUUAUUGUCAGUUGCCAGCAUUCAGUUGGGCACUCUGGCGAGACUGCCGGUGACAAACCGGAGGAAGGUGGGGAUGACGUCAAGUCAUCAUGCCCCUUAUGACCUGGGCUACACACGUGCUACAAUGGACGAUACAACGAGUCGCGAGACCGCGAGGUUUAGCUAAUCUCUGAAAGUCGUUCUCAGUUCGGAUUGUAGGCUGCAACUCGCCUACAUGAAGUCGGAAUCGCUAGUAAUCGCGCUUCAGCAUGCCGCGGUGAAUACGUUCCCGGGCCUUGUACACACCGCCCGUCACACCAUGAGAGUUUGUAACACCCAAAGCCGGUGCGGUAACCAUUUGGAGCCAGCCGUCUAAGGUGGGUAUCAGAUGAUUGAGGGUGAAGUCGUAACAA